UACGAAGGGGGCAAGCGUUGUUCGGAAUUACUGGGCGUAAAGGGCGCGUAGGCGGCUUAUCAAGUCAGGCGUGAAAUUCCCGGGCUCAACCUGGGGGCUGCGCUUGAUACUGAUUGGCUUGAAUGCGGGGGAGGAUAGUGGAAUUCCCAGUGUAGAGGUGAAAAUUCGUAGAUAUUGGGAAGAACACCGAUGGCGAAGGCAGCCAUCUGGACCGACACUGACGCUGAGGCGCGAAAGCGUGGGGAGCAAACAGGG
rnacentral:rRNA from 1 species